rnacentral:rRNA from 1 species
AGGGCACCACCAGGAGUGGAGCCUGCGGCUUAAUUUGACUCAACACGGGGAAACUUACCAGGCGUGGACACUGGAAGGAUUGACGGAUUGAGAGCUCUUUCUUGAUUCAGUGGGUGGUGGUGCAUGGCCGUUCUUAGUUGGUGGAGCGAUUUGUCUGGUUAAUUCCGAUAACGAACGAGACUCUAGCCUAUUAAAUAGGCUCCCGGCUUUUAAACGCCGGGAGGACUUCUUAGAGGGACAGGUGGCGGUUCAGCCGCACGAAAGAGAGCAAUAACAGGUCUGUGAUGCCCUUUGUUGUCCGGGGCCGCACGCGCGCUACACUGAAGAGAUCAGCGUGCUUUAUGUUCCUGCUCCGACCGGAGUGGGGAACCCAGUGAACCUUCUUCGUGAUUGGGAUAGAAGAUUGUAAUUAUUCUUCUUGAACGAGGAAUUCCCUGUAAAUGCGAGUCAUAAGCUCGCGUUGAUUACGUCCCUGCCCUUUGUACACACCGCCCGUCGCUACUACCGAUUGAACGAUUU